CAGGGGUGCCUUGCUGCCCUCGGUCCGUCCCACCCGCCCGGCGGCCCUGGCGCUCACGCGUGGCGUGCGUGGCGGCGCCCCGUGUUAUAUAACGCUUAUGUAACCUCCAGGCGGCGCGCGCUUCUCGGGUCACGCAGACGCCGUCCGUCCGCGUGGGAGGCAGGAUCCUAGGGGCCUGCGCCCCCACCCUGCCUGGGUCCUCGUCCUGAUUCCGGGCGUGUGCAGGGGGCUGGGGGACCCGGGCCCGCUCCACACAGGCGGCAGGGGGCCCAGAAAGGGGUUGGCUGGGGUCCCCCUGCCUUCUGUGCCUUUAUUUCCCCUGUCCCGGGGACCCUGUGGUGAAGCGGAAGCAGUUCUUGUCUUUGGAGGCCAGUUGUCCGCGUGGCAGGUGCGUGAGGUGUGGGGAGAGGACCCCCAGGGUAGCAGCAGAGGAACGCAGGGUACAAAGGUCUGCUAAAGAGGCAGGAGCGCGCUCGGGCCUUGAGGUCCCGAGCAGCGGAGACUAGAAGCUUGGUGGUCCCGUCAUAAGACCUUCACGGCAGCCCUGGUGUUGGGGGCGGUCAGGAAAGGGGUGCAGGGACCGGAUCAGGCGGAAAGAUAAACAUGGUGUUCUUUUACUGUACUCUCCACUGCGCUGUCCCUGGUUACCGGGGCAACAGAAGCAGUGAUGAAAAUCAUGCCUUUGGUUCAGUGGAAAAAUCUGGCUCCUCCUCCCGACUCUUCUCUCUCUGAUCGCCUGUGACCCAUUGGGAGGAUGAUGCUUCCAGGGAUUGGAGACCCCACGCAUCCCUCGUGUGCCCCCCUUCCCGUUCUGUCGUCUGCCGCUUUCCUGCAUCCCUGUAUCCCCCCAGGUCGCAGUCGGCAGUUGCGUAGGAGUUGGAGUAGGUGGGGGCAGGCUGUGGACGUCAUCGCAGGCCGGGAGAGCAGAGCGUGGGCACAGAUGUGGAUGCGGGAGAGACUGGCGUAGGGAGGGAACGGAUGGAUGGGCUCGGCCGAGCUGAGGCUUGUUCUGGGGCCCAGGAGCGGAGCAAAGGACAGGGCCACCUGGACUCCUGGACCAGCUCUGCCAAUCACCCACAUUUUCUGUCAAACGGUCUUCUCUUUUUGAAGUUCAGGUUUGUGUUUCUGUUUUCUUCUCUCCACCAACUGUGCUCAGACACCGUGGGAAGCACAGCUGUAUAGAUGCAUGUCAUCUCCUUGACCUUUGCCAUACUGUCCUCGUACAGCCCCAGGAAGCGCUGUUGAGAGGUGCCACAGGUCUGUGGCCUCCCCUGCUGUAGGCAGAAGAGCAAACUUCCCAGGGAUCAGUACUUGGCAAACUGUGGCUUAUGGCCAGAUGCUUGUUUUUUAAAUAAAGUUUUAUUGGAACAUAGUA